UAGGAUUAGGAGGAACAUCGAUCCAGUAUCCAUCAUGGAGAACUUGAAGUCCUCCAAUAUGGUCUUGAAGAAGUAUAGUGAUGAAAGAUCUGUCUGUAUGCUGAGUGGCGCCGAGCGUUAGGUCUGGCUCAGGACACGGCGGGUAACAAUGACAGAGCAUCAACAAGCCUUUUGCACAAUCCAUUUCUUUGAGGUGGUUAGGCUUCAGCCCUAAGGAUUCUGAUAUGAGCUCAAAUAUUAACUCCCCAAACAUCAUCACUCUCUUUGAGUAGUCCAACAUGAUCUCCCUAAAACAUUGAACAUAAAUAAACUCUCAAAACCCAUCAAACAAAAAUAUUAAGUUAGUCCAAAGAUUAAUUUAAAACAAGAGAAGCCGUGUUCGUACCUACAAAUGUCUGGUAACUCAUCGGUUUUGGGAACAUCAGGGAACAUAAAACAACUUAAGGUAUCUCUCCAGCUCGCAGCAGGAGAGUCAUAGAGAUCAGAGUUAGAGUUAUACUUUAUCGCUUUGUCCUGUAGUAGAUCACCAACAUUAAGGAUAAGAGCAUUCGGAUUAGGAGGAACAUCGAUCCAGUAUCCAUCAUGGAGAACUUGAAGUCCUCCAAUGUGGUCUUGAAGAAGAAUAGUGAUGAAAGAUCUGUCUGUAUGCUGAGUGGCACCGAGUGUUCGGUCUGGCUCAGGACACGGCGGGUAGCAAUGACAAAGCAUCAACAAGCCUUUUGCAAAAUCCAUUUCUUUGAGGUGGUUAGGCUUCAGCCCUAAGGAUUCUGAUAUGAGCUCAAAGAUUAACUCCCCAAACCUCAUCACUCUCUUUGAGUAGUCCAACAUGAUCUC
rnacentral:lncRNA from 1 species